rnacentral:rRNA from 1 species
UUUUAAGUCUGAUGUGAAAGCCCACGGCUCAACCGUGGAGGGUCAUUGGAAACUGGGGAACUUGAGUGCAGAAGAGAAAAGCGGAAUUCCACGUGUAGCGGUGAAAUGCGUAGAGAUGUGGAGGAACACCAGUGGCGAAGGCGGCUUUUUGGUCUGUAACUGACGCUGAGGCGUGAAAGCGU